rnacentral:rRNA from 1 species
UACGUAGGGUGCGAGCGUUGUCCGGAAUUAUUGGGCGUAAAGGGCUCGUAGGCGGUUUGUCGCGUCGGGAGUGAAAACUCAGGGCUUAACCCUGAGCCUGCUUCCGAUACGGGCAGACUAGAGUUCGGCAGGGGAGACUGGAAUUCCUGGUGUAGCGGUGAAAUGCGCAGAUAUCAGGAGGAACACCGGUGGCGAAGGCGGGUCUCUGGGCCGAUACUGACGCUGAGGAGCGAAAGCGUGGGGAGCGAACAGG